GAGUUUGAUCCUGGCUCAGAGCUAACGUUGGCGUCGUGCCUAACACAUGCAAGUCGAACGCGUUCCGGGGGCAACCCCGGGACGAGUGGCGAAUGGGUGAGUAACACGUGGGUUAUCUCCCUCCGAGUGGGGAAUAAGCUCCCGAAAGGGGGUCUAAUACCGCAUAAGGCCCGGGCUCAUAAGAGUUCCGGGUUAAAGCCGUAAGGCGCUUGGAGAUGAGCCUGCGUCCUAUUAGCUAGUUGGUAGGGUAAUGGCCUACCAAGGCUGAGAUGGGUAGCCGGCCUGAGAGGGUGAACGGCCACACUGGGACUGAGACACGGCCCAGACUCCUACGGGAGGCAGCAGUGAGGAAUUUUGCGCAAUGGGGGAAACCCUGACGCAGCGACGCCGCGUGGAGGACGAAGGCCUUCGGGUCGUAAACUCCUGUCAGAGGUGAAGAAUCCCGCAAGGGUUGACGGUAACCUCAGAGGAAGCCCCGGCUAACUACGUGCCAGCAGCCGCGGUAAUACGUAGGGGGCAAACGUUGCUCGGAAUUACUGGGCGUAAAGGGUGCGUAGGCGGCUGAGCAAGUCAAGGAUGAAAUCCCGUGGCUUAACUGCGGAACUGUCCUUGAAACUGCUUAGCU
rnacentral:rRNA from 1 species